GAUCAUUAUUGAAAUAAACCUGAUGGGUUGUUGCUGGUUCUCUAGGGAGCAUGUGCACACCUUGUCAUCUUUAUAUCUCCACCUGUGCACUUUUUGUAGACCUUUCAGGUCUAUGUUGCUUCAUUUAACCCCCAUGGAUGUUAAAAAAAUGGUGUGCCUUAUAAUAUAUACAACUUUCUUCAACGGAUCUCUUGCUUCUCUCUUCCAUGAAUAACGAACCGAAAUGAGAGAAAUAAUGUGAAUUGAUUAAUUAAUUGAAUCAUCCAAUCUUUCUACGCACCUUGCUCUCCUUGCUUUUCCUAGGAACAUGCCUGUUUGAUUGACUUUAAUAUAUAUCAACCUUCUCUUGCUUAGUGAGUGGGAUGUAGGGGUUUGCUGGCCUCUUACUUGGGUUCAGCUCUCCUGUCCUGAAUUGCCUUAACAAACUGUUCUUUGCUGUGAUAACUAUCUUAUCUAUUGAAUGGGAGGGGAAGUUCAGCUUUCCUUCCCUCCUUGGACUGUUUAUCUUUAAUGUGACCUCACAUCAAGUCGGACUACACGCUGAACUUAACUUAAUCAUAUAACGGAGGAAAAGAAACUAACCUGGAUUCCCCUCCCAUAUGAACUGGAAGUGAGAAAAGAUCAAAUCUAAUUUCUGAUCUGGCUUCUGGCUGGCCUAGUUGAAAUCUAAAGAAGAGAUAUGCGCGCUGGACCGGGUACUAGUCUCCUGACUGA
rnacentral:rRNA from 1 species